AAGUCGUAACAAGGUUUCCGUAGGUGAACCUGCGGAAGGAUCAUUAAUGAAUAUCUAUGGUGUUGGUUGUCGCUGGCUCCUAGGAGCAUUGUGCACACCCACCAUUCAUAUCUUUCCACCUGUGAACUUUGUGUAGAUCUGGAUAACUCUCGCUCGUUAUCAAGCGGAUGCAAGGAACUGCCCCUUGGGGCUUUCUUUGAAUUUCCAGGUCUAUGUCUUUUAUACACCCCAAUUGAAUGAUAACGAAUGUAAUCAAUGGGCUCUAAGCCUAUAAAACAAAAUACAACUUUCAGCAACGGAUCUCUUGGCUCUC
rnacentral:misc_RNA from 1 species